rnacentral:rRNA from 1 species
UUAAGCAUAUAAGUAAGCGGAGGAAAAGGAACUAAACAGGAUUCCCUUAGUAAUGGCGAACGAACAGGGAUCAGCUUGGGUUGGAAACCGGGGCUUCUGCCUUGGAUUGUGGCCUUUAGACAUACUACCAACGGCGGCGCGAGCGUAAGCCUCUUGGAACAGAGCGUCUACGUGGGUGAGAAUCCUGUGUUUCGCUUGAUGCCCGCCGUGCACGGUACUUGCUCUCAGAGUCGCGCUCCUCGGAAUUGGAGCGUAAAUUGGGUGGUAAAUUUCAUCUAAAGCUAAAUACAGGCUCGAGACCGAUAGCAAACAAGUACCAUGAGGGAAAGAUGAAAAGGACUUUGAAAAGAGAGUUAAAAGUGCUUGAAAUCGCUGAACUGGAAGCGAAUGGAACUAGUGCUCUGGUUGAGAUUGCUGCAAGUGGCUGUGACAUCUGGGCUCUGGAACGCAAGUCCUUUGUCUGGUUUGAAGUAGUUGCUUGCAAUGUGUCUCAGCUUGAACGUCAACUUCUAUGCAUACGUGAGGAUGGCCCUUGGCUCAUGCUGUGUUGCUGUGGCGAUACUCUUGUGCUUCUGGGGAUUCAGGUGUGUGUGGAUUGUUGAUCAAUUAGUUCCAUUCGACCCGUCUUGAAACACGGACCAAGGAG